UUUUUUUUUUUUUUUUUGUCUGACAGAUAGAAUUAGAAGCCUAAGCAUUCUAACUCUGUAGGUGGCCUUCAGCUGAUUUUUCAUUCUCAAAUCAGAACUAAAGAAGUAAUUUGAACCCUUAAAAACAUUUUAAAAAUAUAAAUAUAAAAGGAGGCUGAAAGAAAAUCAUGAAGAAAAAAUACCAAGGCGAAAAAAAUAAGACAGCACGGAAUUUUUGAAACAAAUGUCUUCUGCGGCGAGUACCCAUCGAGCCAAAUUUGCAUCAAAGGAUGGAAAGCCAGGGAAUCCCCACAUGACUGGAUCAUCCAACCCCAGGGGGUCGAGAUCGGACAAGAUGAACAAGUGUAUCCGCAUUAUGAACGGAGGUGGUGUUGAGAAGAUUGGCUACUGCCUUAGCGAAUCCCCCUACUGCCAUGAAUACCAUCUUCCUUGGAAUCCCUCCCAUG
rnacentral:misc_RNA from 1 species